rnacentral:rRNA from 1 species
UACGUAGGGGGCAAGCGUUGUCCGGAUUUAUUGGGCGUAAGAGCGUGUAGCGGCCAUUCAGGUCAGCUGUGAAAACUCGAGGCUCAACCUCGAGACGUCGGUUGAAACCGUUUGGCUAGAGUCCGGAAGAGGAGAGUGGAAUUCCCGGGUGUAGCGGUGAAAUGCGCAGAUAUCGGGAAGAACACCCGUGGCGAAGGCGGCU